UCCGUAGGGUAACCUGCGGAAGGAUCAUUAAAUAAUUUGAGUAUGCUUAUGCAUAUUUCUAUUUACUGUGAACUGUUUUACUGUUUAGCGUUUUGAGGGAUUGCCUAAAGAUUAUAGGGAUAGGUCUUUAGGAUGUUAACCUAGCUAAAGUCAGGCUUAGGCCUGGUAUCCUAAUUCAUUAUUUACCAAAAGAAUUCAGAAUUAAUAUUGUAACAUAAGCGUAAAAAACUUAUAAAACAACUUUUAACAACGGAUCUCUUGGUUCUCGCAUCGAUGAAGAACGUAGCAAAGUGCGAUAACUAGUGUGAAUUGCAUAUUCAGUGAAUCAUCGAGUCUUUGAACGCAUCUUGCGCUCAAUGGUAUUCCAUUGAGCACGCCUGUUUCAGUAUCAACAACAACCCACAUCCACAAUUUUGUUGUGAAUGGAAGUGAGAGUAUCGAUGUAAAAAUUGAACUCUUUAAAACUAUUAGGCCUGAACUAUUGUUCUAUUAGCCUGAACAUUUUUUUAAUAUAAAGGAAUGCUCUAGUUAAAAGACUAUCUUGGGGGCCUCCCAAAUAAAUCAUUUUUUUAAACUUGAUCUGAAAUCAGGUGGGAUUACCCGCUGAACUUAAGCAUAUCAAUAAG
rnacentral:rRNA from 1 species